UGUCCAAGUACCCAACCACCAGGAGAAGGGACCGACUUGCCCCUCGAGCCGGUUAUCUCCUUGUUCUCGAAUCGAAAGAGAGAAAAGGUUUCCGUCCCCUUCUUCCUCUCGCUCCUCCCCAUCUGCAAAUCGCAAAUCCUACCAGAAGCCGCCAUGUCCCGCGAUCCACAGCCCCUCCCCAAGCGCCAUAUCAAGCCUCUGCUGAUUCCUCCUCUGAAUUCUGCCUCGUUUCACCUUGCUUUCCUUCUUCCUCUCGCCCGGCAGAUCUGCCUGUCCAUCCAGUCUACCUGAAUCGAAACCGCCUGCAGAUCUUGCCGUGCCCGGCGAGCAACACCACCCGCCGAUCAGUUCGCCGCACCAAGGUGCCUUCUCGAUGUACCGCCGGCGAAUUCCUCGGAGGACGGCGCUUGACUUUGCCUCGUGCCCGCCCUGCCGGAGCUGAGCCGUAAAGCUUCGAUUUUUACGCAUGGGAUAUAAGCCUUCGAUCUAUCGCGUGGGCUGAUGGUGCGUUGACGAUUUCAGUAGCCGGAGACGACGCCCAGGCUGAAUAUUGCCAACUUUCUUCCUGUGAGGGGGGCUGGUCUGCGAGAUCUCGGCAACACAUGCCGCCUCAACUCGGUUCUGCAAUGCCUGGCCUACGCCGACCCGUUCGUGACCUACCUGCCAGAGCGAGAAGCACAAGUCCUCAUACAUAACAGGUGACUACUGUCUCUAAUGGAACGAGGCCCAUUGGAGAAGAUUGAACUUGCUUUGAUGAAACUACAGAGUUAGCAGAGUUUGCGAAGCAACAUGAGGAUUUUUUUACAGUAAAGGAGCUUUCCGUGGAAAAUAUUGCAGCUAUAACAAAUGUGGUGGAGCAGACAUACUUGCAGGCUACAGCAAAGGAGGUCUUUUGUGAGGACGCUGGUUAUAUUGCAAAUGCAGAGGAGCUGCUACCAGACCAACCCCCACUAUCCGGUUGGAUUACAUAAUGAUGACGAUGCAUAUCAUGGCUGUUACUGGUUGCACUAAAAUUUCACAAGAAAGGGAAUCACAGAAGAGCUAAAAGACGGAUCUACAUUUUCUGCUGGGAAUUAAAAUAAUUGCUGAAGAUCAGUGGGCAUCAGCAUCAGAAGCUGUUCUUAGUACGGACAAAUCGGAUUCUGGUGAGAACUCUCUGCUUGUUAUCCCAGAAAUAUGCAGGAACCUGGUAGACAUGGUUUUAGUUCCUAGCAGAAUAUGUAGUUUGUACUAGGAUGUAUGAAACACAAGUGCUUGACAGCUUGUUUGGUUUUCCCAUCCUGCAGCAUAUAAACGUGUGGUAUUGUAUAUAUGGGUUAGAGGUGUAGAUAGUGAUACAGUAUUCCAAUGACACGAUCUUUUUAGUGGAAGUUAAUUAUGUGAUGAUAUAACUGCCUCAGCCAGCUGCAAGUAUGGUGCCAUUACUAGUAUUUAGUCAUGAUCUUACUGCAAAGCCAAUAUCACCAAACUGACUACAAGAAUCAUGGAUAUUUCUUACGUAGCAAUUUUUAUAUAUUAUGUAAAAGUAAUUUUUGUUAUCUAAUAAGGCAAGUAAGAUCAGAUAUAGCAAAUUCAGCAGUACAAGAAUCAUUUCCAUGAAUUAUGAUUAAAUCCAAGAAUCACUUUGCAUUAAAUUCCAACAGAAUUGAUCUCGGAUUCACCAAUAGUGGAACCCAGAAAGAAUUAAUUGCUCGUCAACCGAGAAAGAACAACUGCAGGUUCAGGCCGACCAAGAUUUUAGAAUUAUUCGCUGGUCAACCGACAGACCCAAGGAAAACCGUUUGCAGAACCAAUCGCAGAUCAUCUAUCACCAAGAAGUUUCGUGUUCCAAGGAAUCAAGAGACUAACCAAUCUAGCGGUGCUUAUCCAUCCAAGAGUUUUUACCGUUGCUAAAGCUGUACCAAGAAACGGUCCCGAAAAAACUGCGCGUCAUCCGCCACCCCUCCGGAAUCAUUUCUUGGCCUUCCUGCUCUUCUUUGCCGUCUCCGCCUCCAGCCGGGCCUUCUCUGCGGCUGCCUCGGCCGCCAGGCGAGCGGCCUUCAUGGCCGCCUGGUACACCAAGCAGUUGUGCUUGUGAUCCCUGAUGAAUUGGUCCUGGUAGUCGCCAGGCUUCAACCCGCACGGCAUACAGCUCCACUCCGGCAUUUCUGGACGCCGGCGGGUGAUCGACGAGCGCACGUGGUCCCCGGUCCCCUCCCCCGCGCUGCUCCCGGCCGGCCCUCGCCCUGAACCCUGUCGCCGAUGCUGCUGGUGCUCUCCCCUCUGUAGACGACGACGGUUACGGAAAGGUGAUCUGGAAAUUACGAUUUGAUUUGACAGGUUAGGAUGUCACUGUCAGGCAUGGAGCCGGGUUAUUAUAUGAUAUAAAAUGAUAAAUAAAACUUGUAAAGUCGGCUGUGGGACAAUCCUAUUAGCGGCUGUUUGGUGGGACCGGGCAUGUAAAGCUCAGGGUAAACAGAACAUCGGUAGCUGUUUUUUGCCUAUUUAUUGUGCGCAUCAAUGAAGUGGAAGUAGCUCGACUCA